rnacentral:rRNA from 1 species
UGCAUCGGAACGUGUCCUGUAAUGGGGGAUAACCUAGCGAAAGUUAGGCUAAUACCGCAUACGUCCUGAGGGAGAAAGCGGGGGAUCGUAAGACCUCGUGUUAUAGGAGCGGCCGAUGUCGGAUUAGCUAGUUGGUGGGGUAAAGGCCUACCAAGGCGACGAUCCGUAGCGGGUCUGAGAGGACGGCCCGCCACACUGGGACUGAGACACGGCCCAGACUCCUACGGGAGGCAGCAGUGGGGAAUUUUGGACAAUGGGGGCAACCCUGAUCCAGCCAUGCCGCGUGAGUGAAGAAGGCCUUCGGGUUGUAAAGCUCUUUCGGCCGGGAAGAAAUCGUGCGGGCUAAUACCCUGUAUGGAUGACGGUACCGGAAGAAGAAGCACCGGCUAACUACGUG